rnacentral:rRNA from 1 species
AUUGAACGCUGGCGGCAGGCUUAACACAUGCAAGUCGAGCGAGCGGCGGACGGGUGUGUAAUGUCUGGAACACUCCCUGAUGGGGGGGGAUAACUACUGGAAACGGUAGCUAAUACCGCAUACCAUCAGAUGUGCCCCGAUGGGAUUAGCUAGUAGGGGGGGUAAUGGCUCACCUGGGCGACGAUCCCUCGCUGGUCUGAGAGGAUGACCAGCCACACUGGAACGGAGACACGGUCCAGACUCCUACGGGAGGCAGCAGUGGGGAAUAUUGCACAAUGGGCGCAAGCCUGAUGCAGCCAUGCCGCGUGUGUGAAGAAGGCCUUCGGGUUGUAAAGCACUUUCAGCGAGGAGGCGUUACUCGCAGAAGAAGCACCGGCUAACUCCGUGCCAGCAGCCGCGGUAAUAC